AGGGUUUGUUUUUGCAAGUUUUUUGCACAUUACGUUAAGCAAGCCUGUUUGUGUGUGACCACUAGAGUCAGACUCCUUUGGCUCUCUCCUGGUACCUGAUGGAAGCAAAUGGGGCUUGUCAAACUCCAGAGGUCCUGGCAACUGCCGUAAAGUCAUGUACUUGUCCAGAAGACUGGGAAUGAAGAUGAGUUUGAAAAGGAAUCCAGAGAUAGCCUGUGAAUUCCCCUGUCCAUGGUUGAACAAGGGAAGCUGUUGAUUUAGAAGCCACUAGCAACUC
rnacentral:lncRNA from 1 species